rnacentral:misc_RNA from 1 species
AUAAAAGCCAAUACCCCUGGAAUAGAAAAUGUCAUUAUUUCAACACACUGCCAAAAUGAUCUAGGACUUUCUACAGCUAAUACUUUAGCAGGAGCACAUGCAGGUGCCAGACAACUUGAAGUAACAGUCAAUGGCAUUGGUGAAAGAGCUGGAAAUGCUUCAUUGGAGGAGGUUGUUAUGGCCAUAAAAUGUCGUGGAGAGCAUGUUUUAGGAGGUCUUUAUACUGGAAUCAAUCC